rnacentral:rRNA from 1 species
UACGGGGGGGGCAAGCGUUGUUCGGAAUUACUGGGCGUAAAGGGCUCGUAGGCGGCCAACUAAGUCAGACGUGAAAUCCCUCGGCUUAACCGGGGAACUGCGUCUGAUACUGGAUGGCUAGAGGUUGGGAGAGGGAUGCGGAAUUCCAGGUGUAGCGGUGAAAUGCGUAGAUAUCCGGAGGAACACCGGUGGCGAAGGCGGCUUCCUGGACCGACACUGACGCUGAGGCGCGAAAGCGUGGGGAGCAAACAGG